UGGGGAAUAUUGGACAAUGGGCGCAAGCCUGAUCCAGCCAUGCCGCGUGAGUGAUGAAGGCCCUAGGGUUGUAAAGCUCUUUCACCGGUGAAGAUAAUGACGUUAACCGGAGAAGAAGCCCCGGCUAACUUCGUGCCAGCAGCCGCGGUAAUACGAAGGGGGCUAGCGUUGUUCGGAUUUACUGGGCGUAAAGCGCACGUAGGCGGACUUUUAAGUCAGGGGUGAAAUCCCGGGGCUCAACCCCGGAACUGCCUUUGAUACUGGAAGUCUUGAGUAUGGUAGAGGUGAGUGGAAUUCCGAGUGUAGAGGUGAAAUUCGUAGAUAUUCGGAGGAACACCAGUGGCGAAGGCGGCUCACUGGACCAUUACUGACGCUGAGGUGCGAAAGCGUGGGGAGCAAACAGG
rnacentral:rRNA from 1 species